rnacentral:rRNA from 1 species
GACGAACGCUGGCGGCGUGCUUAACACAUGCCAGUCGAACGGAAAGGCCCUGCUUUUGUGGGGUGCUCGAGUGGCGAACGGGUGAGUAACACGUGAGUAACCUGCCCUUGACUUUGGGAUAACUUCAGGAAACUGGGGCUAAUACCGGAUAGGAGCUCCUGCUGCAUGGUGGGGGUUGGAAAGUUUCGGCGGUUGGGGAUGGACUCGCGGCUUAUCAGCUUGUUGGUGGGGUAGUGGCUUACCAAGGCUUUGACGGGUAGCCGGCCUGAGAGGGUGACCGGCCACAAUGGGACUGAGGUACGGCCCAGACUCCUACGGGAGGCAGCAGUGGGGAAUAUUGCACAAUGGGCGGAAGCCUGAUGCAGCAACGCCGCGUGCGGGAUGACGGCCUUCGGGUUGUAAACCGCUUUCGCCUGUGACGAAGCGUGAGUGACGGUAAUGGGUGAAGAAGCACCGGCUAACUACGUG